UUGUUGGGUAGGGGAGCGUUCUGUAAGCCUGCGAAGGUGGCCUGUGAGGGUUGCUGGAGGUAUCAGAAGUGCGAAUGCUGACAUAAGUAACGAUAAAGCGGGUGAAAAGCCCGCUCGCCGGAAGACCAAGGGUUCCUGUCCAACGUUAAUCGGGGCAGGGUGAGUCGACCCCUAAGGCGAGGCCGAAAGGCGUAGUCGAUGGGAAACGGGUUAAUAUUCCCGUACUUGGUGUUACUGCGAAGGGGGGACGGAGAAGGCUAUGUUGGCCGGGCGACGGUUGUCCCGGUUUAAGCGUGUAGGCUGGUUUUCCAGGCAAAUCCGGAAAAUCAAGGCUGAGGCGUGACGACGAGGCACUACGGUGCUGAAGCAACAAAUGCCCUGCUUCCAGGAAAAGCCUCUAAGCAUCAGGUAACACGAAAUCGUACCCCAAACCGACACAGGUGGUCAGGUAGAGAAUACCAAGGCGCUUGAGAGAACUCGGGUGAAGGAACUAGGCAAAAUGGUGCCGUAACUUCGGGAGAAGGCACGCUGACACGUAGGUGAAGUGAUUUACUCAUGGAGCUGAAGUCAGUCGAAGAUA
rnacentral:rRNA from 1 species